AACGAACGCUGGCGGCAUGCCUAACACAUGCAAGUCGAACGAAGGCUUCGGCCUUAGUGGCGCACGGGUGCGUAACGCGUGGGAAUCUGCCCCUCGGUUCGGAAUAACAGUUAGAAAUGGCUGCUAAUACCGGAUGAUGACUUCGGUCCAAAGAUUUAUCGCCGAGGGAUGAGCCCGCGUAAGAUUAGGUAGUUGGUGGGGUAAAGGCCUACCAAGCCGACGAUCUUGAGCUGGUCUGAGAGGAUGAUCAGCCACACUGGGACUGAGACACGGCCCAGACUCCUACGGGAGGCAGCAGUGGGGAAUAUUGGACAAUGGGCGAAAGCCUGAUCCAGCAAUGCCGCGUGAGUGAUGAAGGCCUUAGGGUUGUAAAGCUCUUUUACCAGGGAUGAUAAUGACAGUACCUGGAGAAUAAGCUCCGGCUAACUACGUGCCAGCAGCCGCGGUAA
rnacentral:rRNA from 1 species